AACGCGUGGGUAACCUGCCUCACACAGGGGGAUAACAGUUGGAAACGGCUGCUAAUACCGCAUAAGCGCACAGUACCGCAUGGUACAGUGUGAAAAACUCCGGUGGUGUGAGAUGGACCCGCGUCUGAUUAGCUAGUUGGCAGGGUAACGGCCUACCAAGGCGACGAUCAGUAGCCGACCUGAGAGGGUGACCGGCCACAUUGGGACUGAGACACGGCCCAAACUCCUACGGGAGGCAGCAGUGGGGAAUAUUGCACAAUGGGGGAAACCCUGAUGCAGCGACGCCGCGUGAGCGAAGAAGUAUUUCGGUAUGUAAAGCUCUAUCAGCAGGGAAGAAGAAAUGACGGUACCUGACUAAGAAGCACCGGCUAAAUACGUGCCAGCAGCCGCGGUAAUACGUAUGGUGCAAGCGUUAUCCGGAUUUACUGGGUGUAAAGGGAGCGCAGGCGGAAGGCUAAGUCUGAUGUGAAAGCCCGGGGCUCAACCCCGGUACUGCAUUGGAAACUGGUCAUCUAGAGUGUCGGAGGGGUAAGUGGAAUUCCUAGUGUAGCGGUGAAAUGCGUAGAUAUUAGGAGGAACACCAG
rnacentral:rRNA from 1 species